GUGGAAUAUUUUUAUUAUGCAAGAGUUAAAUAUAUUAAUUCACUCGAGUGGCUUCCCUUUGGGGAUUAGAAAAGCUCUGGAAAACACAAGCACGUCUAGCAAAAUAUCCUGGUGAUCUUAUGUGUUCCAUCACAGUGGAUGUGAACAUGCUGGUUGUGAAAUCCCUGAUCGGGAGCUCCAAACAAAGGUAGUGUGGCUCUCUGAGCGGAUUCUCUCCCCUUAACAUGAGUAAAAGUAGGCUUCAAAGAAAUGUUGAAAAAAAAGCAGGA
rnacentral:lncRNA from 1 species